rnacentral:lncRNA from 1 species
UGGGUUCCAUUGCAGAUUUGCAGUGUGGGAACUAAAUUCCGACUUCAAACAAAGAUUCCUAAACUAUUGGGUGCAGGUAAUGUUUUUACAUUAUAAUUUCAUCAAGAAAUUAGAGAUUUUAGGCUAGGGUUUGAAAUUGGGGUUCUAAACCUUCAAUUAAACUUUUAUUUUCAAGCAAUUGAAAGGUUUUCGGAGGCACAUUGAAUUUUUUUCCAUUUCAAGGGGAAGAAAGGAGAAAGGCUUUUAAUGGAGAAGCUAUUUGAUAGUGAUUUGUAGGUGACUCAUAUUUUAGAGGUAAGAGAUGAACUUCGCACUUCCUAAUUGAGCAAUAAGAAUUUUUAUGAUUACUUUAAUUUUACUUAUGGAAGGUCAGAACAUCAGAGAUAAUUGACUGUAGUAAAAUGUUGUAAACAUUCUUUCUUGCAGAAGACAAUUAAUCAAUCCAAAUGGAAUCAAUCUGAUAUGCUGAAAGCUAAGAAAUUGUCAUUUUUAUUUCGUUCAUAUGAUGUUUGAUAUUUGUUUUCAGGAAUCCUCGCCUGCAUCUCUUGCUCAUGGAUGGUAGGUGAUAACGGAAGAGCUUUUAUUAGGCAAUGGCAAUUUGGAUAUAUCAACCAAGAAGAAGAAGAAACAGAAAAGAUAAAAUAUUGACAAUGUGGAGUUGGACACGUCGGAACAUGUAAAUAGGUAUGUUGAUAAUGUAGCUAUUCUCUAUUUUUGUUUGGUGUUAUAACUCAUACUGGUACUGAUUUAAAUAUGUUUGACUGAUACAUAAAAAAGUGUUAUAACUUUGUUAUCAUGAUUUAAUUAUUUCCUGCAUCCUAUUUCAUGUUUCAGACUUUUCCUUUUGCAAACAUAUAGAAUUUUUAUUGGAAAUAUUCGUUUAUAUUAGACAACAUUUUUCAGGUAUUCCAUCCCAAUUAGUAAUCAAAUAAAUUUUGUAGAGGGAUUGAAAAACUAAUGUAUACGGCGAAAUCAGA